rnacentral:rRNA from 1 species
GACGAACGCUGGCGGCGUGCUUAACACAUGCAAGUCGAACGGAAAGGCCCUGCUUUUGUGGGGUGCUCGAGUGGCGAACGGGUGAGUAACACGUGAGUAACCUGCCCUUGACUUUGGGAUAACUUCAGGAAACUGGGGCUAAUACCGGAUAGGAGCUCCUGCUGCAUGGUGGGGGUUGGAGAGUUUCGGUGGUUGGGGAUGGACUCGCGGCGUAUCAGCUUGUUGGUGAGGUAGCGGCUUACCAAGGCUUUGACGGGUAGCCGACCUGAGAGGGUGAUCGGCCACCAUGGAACUGAGACACGGGCCAGACUCCUACGGGAGGCAGCAGGAGGGAAGCUUCCGCAAUGGGCGAAAGCCUGACGGAGCAACGCCGCGUGAGUGAUGAAGGUCUGCGGAUCGUAAAACGCUGUUAUUAGGGAAGAACAUAUGUGUAAGUAACUGUGCACAGCUUGACGGUACCUAAUCAGAAAGCCACGGCUAACUACGUG